ACCUACACAGGUAGGCUUAAUGUUUGCUAGUAUGGUUAUCUAGCCCUAAGUAAUAGAGUUAAAGAUUUCUCUAUUAGACACAGAGGUCAUACUAAUAAAAGGAUUUUGCAAAAUCAGAUGACAUUAAAUUAUUAAACUGUGUCUUAAGGGAAAGGACAUCUGUAACCCUAAAAGUUAAAUGUCAUGUUUACAGUCCUGGUAACUGGAAAUGUUAAAGCCUGGUGAGGGAACUUAUGUACAGUGACAUGUUCCAGCUGCUACAACACUUAUUCAGUACUCAUGGUUUUUGUUUCCCUCAUGAAAGCACCCAUCCCCAGAUGACAACCUGUUUUUCUCCAGCCAGACUUCAAAUGGAACUGACUUCUAAAAGGGAACUCAUGUCCCCCAUGUCUUCGAGGAGAAGGCAUAUACACCAAGUUAUAGUCAGCUGGAUGCCAAGGCACUGUCGCCCAUACAGGUCCACUAUCAUCAUCUGGAGAUGGAAGACCAUGCUGCCAACAUUUAAAAGGAUGUUCUACCCUUCUCUCAGGCUUAUUUCUUAAGUUUACAUCCCCACAGAUCUCUCUUUCUUAUAUAAAAGUAUAAGUAACAGCUCUGACCAACCAUCUUCUGCCCUUGCCAUAAGGGUUCGCUCCUCCAUGGGCCCCUCCGCUUGGGGGAGGAUGCACCCAUGGAGUGAAGACGUUAGGCCAUAAUAAUGUAGGGUGCAGGAAGGACUGCAGGAGGAUGAAUCCACGGAUCCCAAAACCCAAGACCUCUGAGUGACACGCUCUGGUGAUGGCAGUUGGCAUGCUCCCCCCUCAAAGCUGUCUCCUCCAAAAACAUGCCAAGGCCACCACGCCUUAGAAUAUCUUGGAUCAGGAGAUAUUCUAAGGCCUUCUAGAGGAACAGAGCCUCUAUCCCCCCUAAAAACAUGGCCGGUAAGGUAUGGUCAAAUAUUUUAUAUAAGAAAGGGGGAAAUGUCGGGGACUAGAAGGACAUUCUCCUUCAAAGAUUAGCCUGACAGCCCCCUGGGAGACAUCCUGCCUGGAAGGCAUCCUGCAGCUACCUAUCUCCCUGGAACAUCCUGCAGUUAUCAGGAUCAGCUGGCAGUUUUACCACCCACAUCCAGCAAUUGUUGAUUAUAGAGAGCUUCCCCAUUCCCCAGCAUAUAAAUACCCCUGUGUGAACAAUAAAAGUUUGCAGCUUGAUCAGAACUUUUGUCUUGCUGUCACCUUUCGUGUCUCUUGUCCCUUCAUUCCUCCCCAUCUAGGUUCGCUGCCCACGUUGAUGUGUCCUGCCGGACGGGACAUUACGCCACAGGGCAGACCAUCUGUGAGAUGGACUCAGGCUGAGGCACACCUGGCUCUGUGAAUUUCAGGUUCUGCAGUUUUGACCAUGGGGUUAUGUGCAUUUGUUCAGAGGUAAGUGUUGAUGGGAGACUGUGUACAUUCAUUAGCCGGGUUUUGGGGGAACAUCUGUUUGCUAGAUGCUAGACACCAGUCUCACCCACACGGGACUCUGCUCUGGCCACUUGCCUUGUGCCUUGAGAGGCCUGCACUGCUACCUGCCAGUCCUCCCAGCAGCCCUGUAACAUUCUUCUGCAAGGUUCCAUCCCUCAGCAGUGCCCUGGCCAGGCCUACCUGUCAACCUCAAGCAGGGCAUGGCCACAGAGCUGGCCAGGCUGGGUCCUCCACAGCUAUGGGACUGGACUCAGCCCCAGGACCAGCCUAGGAGUGGGAAUGAGUCUCCUUUGGGUGUUCUAGAAACUACAGAGGGAGCCAGCAGUGGAAGUUGGAGGGGGAGAGGGGGAGAAUGUGAACAAAGAGCAAGUGAGGGGUAUGGGGGCUGGAGCUGGGCACUAGGAUAGACAACACCCAGUGUGGGCACUGAUUUGAGGGCACUAAGACAGGAGAAGCUCCCUGCUCCACCCUGCUCGUCAGGCGAGGGAGGGCAGGCUUUCAUUUGUUGAGAGCUCCUUUUCUGCCCUGAGUCCUGCAGGAUGCUCCUCACAUCUGAUGUCAUGGAACACCUGUCUCAAGACAGGCAGCAGGACCAGACAUGCUGAAGCAGGACAAGCAUGGCACUGAGGACUUGCUUCCUCCACAGGCAGGGAAGAAGUGGUGGCAGUGAAAGGUUAAUAAAAAUGUGCCAUCCUCCAGAUGCACAGGAAGCGUUUCAAAGGCAUCCAGGCCACAGAUGUCCCCUACCCUCCACGAUGAUGGCCUCUUCAGUCCUACAGAGUGGAGAGGAGCCUUGGGCCAAUCCAGCCCUGGUCAGAGGUGGAGUGGCUGCAUCUGCCAAGUGUAUUCCUGGUCAGCUUGGGCAGUGGCAUAUACAAGGCUUUGCUGGCCUCUGUCUCCCUGCUCAGACCUCAGAGAAGCCCAUGUGGCUUGGGGGCAAAGGUCUCAGGUGCUCCUCCAUGCAGGCCAUUGGUUCCUCCUGCUCUGAUUGUCUCCGUCUUCCCCAAGUCUUCCACAGCAAUGUAUGUUUUUGUAACAUAAUAAAAAUAAAUUAAUUAAUUGAA